rnacentral:rRNA from 1 species
UACGUAGGGUGCGAGCGUUGUCCGGAAUUAUUGGGCGUAAAGAGCUCGUAGGCGGUCUGUCGCGUCUGCUGUGAAAACCCGAGGCUCAACCUCGGGCCUGCAGUGGGUACGGGCAGACUAGAGUGCGGUAGGGGAGAAUGGAAUUCCUGGUGUAGCGGUGGAAUGCGCAGAUAUCAGGAGGAACACCGAUGGCGAAGGCAGUUCUCUGGGCCGUAACUGACGCUGAGGCGCGACAGCGUGGGGAGCAAACAGG